GAUGAACGCUGGCGGCGUGCCUAACACAUGCAAGUCGAGCGAACAGACGAGGAGCUUGCUCCUCUGACGUUAGCGGCGGACGGGUGAGUAACACGUGGAUAACCUACCUAUAAGACUGGGAUAACUUCGGGAAACCGGAGCUAAUACCGGAGAAUAUAUUGAACCGCAGGGUGCAAUAGUGAAAGACGGUUUUGCUGUCACUUAUAGAGGGAUCCGCGCCGCAUUAGCUAGUUGGUAGGGUAACGGCUUACCAAGGCAACGAUGCGUAGCCGACCUGAGAGGAUGAUCGGCCACACUGGAACUGAGACACGGUCCAGACUCCUACGGGAGGCAGCAGUAGGGAAUCUUCCGCAAUGGGCGAAAGCUUGACGCAGCAACGCCGCGUGAGUGAUGAAGGUCUUCGGAUCGUAAAACUCUGUUAUUAGGGAAGAACAAAUGUGUAAUUAACUAUGGACGUCUUGACGGUACCUGAUCAAAAAGCACCGGCUAACUACGUG
rnacentral:rRNA from 1 species